rnacentral:tRNA from 1 species
GCAGUGGUGGUUCAGUGGUAGAAUUCUCACCUUCAGUGCAGGAGGCCUGGGUUCGAUUCCUAGCCAAUGCA